rnacentral:rRNA from 1 species
GGAUUAGUAGUCUGGUCGUGCCACUGGUAUGUACUGGCCCUACUGAUUCCUCCUUCUUGAAGAACUGUAAUGCCAUUAAUUUGGUGUUGCAGGGAAACAGGACUGUUACUUUGAAAAAAUUAGAGUGUUUAAAGCAGGCUAACGCUUGAAUACAUUAGCAUGGAAUAAUGAAAUAGGACGAUCGAUCCUAUUUUGUUGGUUUCUAGGAUUGACGUA